UACGAAGGGGGCUAGCGUUGCUCGGAAUCACUGGGCGUAAAGCGCACGUAGGCGGAUCUUUAAGUCAGGGGUGAAAUCCUGGAGCUCAACUCCAGAACUGCCUUUGAUACUGGGGAUCUCGAGUCCGGGAGAGGUGAGUGGAACUCCGAGUGUAGAGGUGAAAUUCGUAGAUAUUCGGAAGAACACCAGUGGCGAAGGCGGCUCACUGGCCCGGUACUGACGCUGAGACGCGAAAGCGUGGGGAGCGAACAGG
rnacentral:rRNA from 1 species